AUACCAUAAGGUGAUGGAGCUCGCCAUAAAUGCGGAAACGCUGAUGGCUCCUAUUAGGAG
ncrna:Thermoanaerobacter pseudethanolicus ATCC 33223 Fluoride riboswitch